UGAGAACAAGCUAUUUAGCAUUUCAGUUACAUUGAAAAGAUACUUGAAAUAAAUCAAGGUUCUUAA
rnacentral:tRNA from 1 species